rnacentral:rRNA from 1 species
UACGUAGGGGGCAAGCGUUGUCCGGAAUCAUUGGGCGUAAAGAGCGUGUAGGCGGCCAGGUAGGUCUGCUGUGAAAACUCGAGGCUCAACCUCGAGAUGUCGGCGGAAACCAUCUGGCUAGAGUCCGGAAGAGGAGAGUAGAAUUCCUGGUGUAGCGGUGAAAUGCGCAGAUAUCAGGAGGAAUACCCGUGGCGAAAGCGGCUCUCUGGGACGGUACUGACGCUGAGACGCGAAAGCGUGGGGAGCGAACAGG